GGAGACGACAAGUGCUGAUUGGGCCACGUUUAAAUCCACCAAUCACUGCAUACUUUUCUCGUGACGUAAGGUAAUUUGAAAUCGACGAAACGCGCGAACGCCGAACGGUUGUUGAAGAUAUUGAUGUACAGUGUGCGUGGUCGGAAACGUCUUAUUUGACGGAACUUAAUUGAGUAUGGACUGAGUUUUUCCACACUUCAAACGCGGCGGAAUCGGGUACAGAGGUGCUGGAGGAUGCUUUACUCGCGGGUACAGUGCGUGACCUUAACAACAAACCUGUGUCCAGAACCCAAACUGCCUGCUUGACGAUGAACACGGAUGAUGCAAUAAAAGUCUUCAUUUACAACAAAGGAUUUACACAAGCUCCAGUCUGGAUCCAGAUAACCUGAGAAGAGAUGAUGCUGACCCUCAGAGGACCUCAGAUGAUGCUAACCCUGAACAGGGCCGGCGCAAGCUCAAAUGCCGCUCUAGGCAGAGCACGAUCAUGCCGCCCCCACCUCACAUUCACAAUUAGGGAUCCUUAAGAUGCAUGUAAACUUUUUUUUUUUUUAAUCUAUGAAAUUACACUAAAAUAAAAACAUGCAAGCAUGUUUUCAGAGUUUUUUUUUUCCAUUCUGCAAAAAGGUGAAAAAGGUACACAAUGCAACAGCUGCAUAUAAUUUCUGUUUUAUAGGCUAAUAGAUUGUGUACAGAAUAAAACUAAACAUAUGCACACAACUUUUUAGCUCACAAAACUGGAGGUUUCGAUUUUUUCUUGACUGAUAAACACAUUUACACACAUUUCAGAAGCGUGCACGUCGGGCUUUCGCAGCGGCAAACGCUUCGAUUGCUCCCUCGAGUUUAACUUGUACUUCCAAGAUAAUUUUUAUCAGUUUAAGCUUUGAGAAACUGCCUUCUCCAGAGCUCACAGUGACGGGGAGAGUGAGAAGCACUCUCAAUGCUACAAAAACAUUUGGAAAAAUUGAUUCCAUCCCUUUUUCACAGAUGAAUUUAAGCGCAUCCAGUGGUUUAGAUCCAGCAACCAGGCGUCUGCCCAAAGCAGUCAGCUCUUCAAACAAUUCAUGCCCAUCAACAUCCCGCGAGUCUCCAUGAGUCAGGGCCUUUUCCUGUCCUAAGCAAUCCUGAAGAACUAUUGUAUUCUCCUUUUCUUUGAGAGAUGCGAUGUCAUAUAAAAAUCCAAAUACGCGCCCAUUGUCUAAGCAGCGAAAAGCACUCUUCCACAGAGGCAAUUGUACUCAUGACCAGAUAAUUUUAUUCGUUUUGACAUUUUUUAAUAUACAUUAAAGUAUUUUGCAUGCAUAUAGACCUACUAAUAGGGCGCUGCCGGGCGGGAAUUUUUAUUCGAAAAGUAUGUAUAUAUAUAUAUAUAUAUUAGGGGUGUAACGGUUCACAAAAUUCACGGUUCGGUUCGGUUCGAUACACUGAUGUCACGGUUCGGUUCGGUACAGUUCGGUACGUUUUAGAUACAGCAAAAAGAAAAAAUUGGCAGAUAAAUUUCCUUGAUUUUUAUUUAAAUGUUUUAUUUAUUAAAACUAACAAAGUAUGUGUUUUUUUUUGUUUGUUUUUUUUUACAUUGAACAAUGAUGGAGCUAUUCUUUACCCAUCUUCUAUGGUGUUUUCUUAGCAGCAUACUGUAUAAAACAAAAAUAGCUCCUUAUAAAUUUUUUUUACAAAUUAAAUGUAAUAUUGUUGUAGUAGUUAUGAACAAAUACAAAGAUGUAACUCUUUUUAUAUUGAACUCUAUAACUCUUUAUAUUGAGUGUGUUUUUACUCAGUUGGUUCUCUAUUUGGGCUUAUGUUUUUUGGAACAAAGCAGGAAUUACGGUCUGGCUGAAAUGGGCUCGUGAAGGAAUAUUGUAAUGGGGCUCAAUUACAUUAAGCAUGUUCUUAAAACCUGCGUUUUCCACUACAGAGUAAGGUCUCAUAUCCGCGGCUAUAACGUAAAUGCACCAUUCGCUGCGGUGAUGUCCGUAUACGGAGCCCAGGACGUCACCUGUAGGAGAAAAAAAAUCAAUCCGUGGCGACGGUUUUGCAAUCCGUCCCCUCAGUUUAUAAACCGUACUCACGAAUUCAUAAACUGUUCACUCGAUUUAACAAAUCGUGCCCACGAAUUUCCAAUCCGUGCACUCAGAUUUUGUAAACCGUACCCUCGGUUUUUGAAUCCGUACUCACGAAUUCAUAAUCCGUGCGCACGCUUUCGCAAUCCGUUCCCUCGGAUUUGUAAACCGUACUCACGGAUUCAUGCAGCAAACUCCUACGUGUUAACAUACAGUUUUAUUGAAUAUUAUUAUGUGGAAUAGGUUUACAGCAAAGUGCCUUAAGUGAUUCUCUAUCAAGUGUAGUACGAGGUGGAAUACAAAGAUUUAAUAAGAAAGAUGCGCAUUAAAAUCUUGUUCAAUUGCUGAUAAUCUAUAAUAGCACUUGAUUAUUAUUGUGCAAUAAACCUGGCAUUGUGACUGACUCUGGAGUAAUUUUUUCCUCUUUUGUAAGUUAUUUUGGAUAAAAGAUUCUUAUGCAUAACCUGUUUAAUAAUAUAUAAUAAUGAUACAAAUAAAAAUAAAGUUAUUUUUUAUAAUUUUAAUUUGUAGGCUAAAUAAAUGAGUACAAGACAGUAAAAAUGUUUGUCAUAAAAUAAUUUGUGAAUUGCUUUAUUUUUAAAUAACCUUUGACAGUUUUGGAAAUGCUUGUGUACAAUUCUUUCUUAACAUGAAGACUUAUUUUUGUGAUUUUAUUAUACUAAGCUCCACCCACCUCACCCCACCUGCCGGAGUUAGAUGCAUGUUUCACUGUUAAGUGUAAAAUGCGUGUCAGUUUUCAAAUCCGAGGGAACGGAUUGCGAAAGCGUGCGCACGGAUUAUGAAUUCGUGGGUACGGAUUCAAAAACCGAGGGUACGGUUUACACAAUCUGAGCGCACGCAUUGGGAAUUCGUGGGCACGGUUUGUUAAUCCGUGGGUACGAUUUGUUAAACCGAGUGAACAGUUUAUUAAUU